rfam:Rattus norvegicus chromosome 5, whole genome shotgun sequence.
GGGGAUUUAGCUCAGUGGUAGAGCGCUUGCCUAGCAAGCACAAGACCCUGGGUUCGGUCCCCAGCUCCA